CAGCAAAUGAGUCUCCGUUUAAUACUUGGGAUAUUAUAACAGUAAGUUAUAGCUCCAGAAGUCAGUCACCAGCAGCAGAUGUCACACAGUUAUAAAAUGAGAAACUUGUAGAAUAAGCUCCAGAAGUCAGCAGCAGCAGACGUCACACAGCUAUAAU